UACGUAGGGUGCAAGCGUUGUCCGGAAUUAUUGGGCGUAAAGAGCUCGUAGGCGGUCUGUCGCGUCGGCUGUGAAAACUCGGGGCUCAACCCCGAGCCUGCAGUCGAUACGGGCAGACUAGAGUGCGGUAGGGGAGACUGGAAUUCCUGGUGUAGCGGUGAAAUGCGUAGAGAUCGGAAAGAACACCAACGGCGAAAGCACUCUGCUGGGCCGACACUGACACUGAGAGACGAAAGCUAGGGGAGCGAAUGGG
rnacentral:rRNA from 1 species